rnacentral:SRP_RNA from 1 species
CGCGAGGGGUGGCAGAUACUUGCGGAACCCCGCCAGGACCGAGAGGUAGCAACGGUACGUGAGUUCCUCUGGGUACCCCUCACUUCA